rnacentral:lncRNA from 10 species
AAUUAUAAAGUAGAUAACAUAGUAACUGGCACAGAAAGUCUUAAAUAUAGUUCUUUUCCCUAUAUGUAUGUUAGCUUUCAGAUGUACCUAAUUUUUCAAACCACCCAAGCAUCAACAUUCCUAUUAGGAAAAGGCUCAUGUUCUUGUUGCUGUAAAUAUUUGGUCAUUCACUUAUUCAUUUACUCAGCAAACAUUUAUUGACCAACCACUAUGUGCCAGGCAUUGUACUGGGUUCAGGGACCAUAGGGAUAAAGAAAACACGAUUCCCACCCUCCAAGGUCUGGCCUGGAAUUUGACCUCUGUUUUCUUCUUUAUUUCAGUCGUCUUAAACUCUGCACUUUGUUCUGUGUUAAAGAAUAACUAUGUCACACACUGAGGGCUUGAGUGAGAAGGAGUGAUCCAGAGAGUCAUGAGAAGAGUCCUUGGGCAUCAGAAGGGCUCCCCAUAUACUGGGAGAGAACCUCUGUAGUCCACCUUGCUACAAAGGUGUCAGAUUUCAUGUUGAAAUAAAAGGGAGCAUUCUAAAUAGUCUUCAAAAUGGAAAAAGGUUGCUCUGUGUGUAGAGAGCUCUAUCUCCAGGGAGCCUUGUGUCUUGUUCAGCAUUAUCGCUUAAGCACCAGAACCUAGAACAGUUCCUGGCAUAUAAUAGGCACACAAUAAAUAUUUGUGUAAUAGAUCAACAAAUUAUAUAAGUUCACUUCAGUAUAAAGCCAUAUAUAUGUGCCCAACAUCCAGCAUAUCAUCCUGCAGGUCAGGGUGUGUCCCUAUACAUUCCUCAGGCCACCAUCAAUGCCACUGUCAAAGAAGACAUCCUGCUCUCAGUUGAGUACUCCUGUCAUGGAGUGCCCACCAUCGAAUGGACAUAUUCAUCCAAUUGGGGAACGCAGAAGAUCGUGGAGUGGAAACCAGGGACUCAGGCCAACAUCUCUCAAAGCCACAAGGACAGAGUCUGCACCUUUGACAACGGCUCCAUCCAGCUCUUCAGCGUGGGAGUGAGGGAUUCCGGCUACUAUGUCAUCACCGUGACGGAGCGCCUGGGGAGCAGCCAGUUUGGCACCAUCGUGCUGCACGUCUCUGAGAUCCUCUAUGAAGACCUGCACUUUGUCGCUGUCAUCCUUGCUUUUCUCGCUGCUGUGGCCGCAGUAUUAAUCAGCCUCAUGUGGGUUUGUAAUAAGUGUGCAUAUAAAUUUCAGAGGAAGAGAAGACACAAACUCAAAGGUAACCCCCUGGGCCUUGUGAUAAUCCAUGAGUGGUUUUGAGGCCAGAGGUGGCAUGUGUUAUCUUGUUCUCACGAAGAAAGCACUAUGUGGCUUGAUUUCCAACUCAUUGACUUGUCUUUGCUUUACAGAAAGCACAACUGAGGAGAUUGAGCUGGAAGAUGUUGAGUGUUAGCCAAG